rnacentral:rRNA from 1 species
UACGUAGGGGCCUAGCGUUGUCCGGAAUUAUUGGGCGUAAAGAGCUCGUAGGCGGUUCGGCAAGUCGGAUGUGAAAUCUCCACGCUUAACGUGGAGGGGCCAUUCGAAACUGCCGUGACUCGAGUCCGGUAGGGGAGUGUGGAAUUCCCGGUGUAGCGGUGAAAUGCGUAGAUAUCGGAAGGAACAUCAGUGGCGAAAGCGACUUCCUGGACCAGUACCGACGUUCAGGCACGAA